rnacentral:rRNA from 1 species
GACGAACGCUGGCGGUGUGCUUAACACAUGCAAGUCGAACGGUAAGGCCCUUUCGGGGGUACACGAGUGGCGAACGGGUGAGUAACACGUGAGUAACCUGCCCUCAUCUCUGGGAUAACAGUCGGAAACGGUUGCUAAUACUGGAUAUGAGCUUGCAAGGCAUCUUGUGGGUUGGAAAGAUUUUUUUGGUUGGGGAUGGACUCGCGGCCUAUCAGCUUGUUGGUGAGGUAGUGGCUCACCAAGGCUUCGACGGGUAGCCGGCCUGAGAGGGCGACCGGCCACAUUGGGACUGAGAUACGGCCCAAACUCCUACGGGAGGCAGCAGUGGGGAAUAUUGCACAAUGGACGGAAGUCUGAUGCAGCAACGCCGCGUGCGGGAUGACGGCCUUCGGGUUGUAAACCGCUUUCAAUUGUGACGAAGCUUUUUGUGACGGUAGCAGUAGAAGAAGCACCGGCUAACUACG